rnacentral:rRNA from 1 species
AUACGGAGGGGGUUAGCGUUGUUCGGAAUUACUGGGCGUAAAGCGUACGUAGGCGGAUCAGAAAGUAAGGGGUGAAAUCCCAGGGCUCAACCCUGGAACUGCCUCUUAAACUCCUGGUCUUGAGUUCGAGAGAGGUGAGUGGAAUUCCAAGUGUAGAGGUGAAAUUCGUAGAUAUUUGGAGGAACACCAGUGGCGAAGGCGGCUCACUGGCUCGAUACUGACGCUGAGGUACGAAAGUGUGGGGAGCAAACAGGAUUAGAUACCCUGGUAGUCCACACCGUAAACGAUGAAUGCCAGACGUCGGGUAGCAUGCUAUUCGGUGUCACACCUAACGGAUUAAGCAUUCCGCCUGGGGAGUACGGUCGCAAGAUUAAA